CCCCGCACAAACCCUCAGCACAGUCGCCUGACAGAGUCCUCAGGGCGGGGCCCGUGCAGAGCCCGUCCCCGGACCGCGCGCCGCUUCGGUCAGGCAGCCACGCGGGCAGCUAUGAGCUCAGCGGCUGUGAAGAGCCACCGCCCCGUGUCCCAGGGAGCAGCGCCCCCUAGUGUCCGCAGGGCUCUCAGACAACUGGAUGCCAAGUCCGAAAACAAAGCAAUGGAAUUCUGAGACAUCCAUCUUUAUGGAUCUUCAUCCCUUUUUACUGUGCUCCUUACCACGGAUUCUGCAAUGUUGCUAAGGACGUGGGAAAUCAGUGGUUCUUAGGCUUUUCCUUGCCCCAGUUGUCGCUGGUGAAUAAGUGCUGGAAGAGGCCACUUACUUCUGCUCACCCUAACGUCCAGUUGCUGAAGAGGAGUGAGGUUGAGAGGAGGAGUUUUGCUUUUUCUCUCCCCAGUCCUUGCUCUGAGCAGCUAGGUGAGAAAGAAGAAGUUACUCACCUUGUGCAGUAACAAUGGUUCUUCAAGAUGUGUGUCCCUACGGAUGCUCCACUGUAGGUGCGUCUGCGUCCCCAUGCUGCUGAUUGGAGAGCUUCGGUAGCAGUGUCCAUUGGGCCUGCACAUGUGCCGUCUCUCCUCAUGCUGUGCCAUGAGGCUAGCCAGCAUGCAGUUCUUAACUCCUUUUCUACCAGAGUUGUAAAUGAGAACUCCAAAGUAGAGGGGAGACAGGCAGGUUGUGUAGCACCCAUAGGGACAUACAUCUCGAAGAACCAUUAUUACUCCACACGGUGAAAGAGGAGGUUACCUUAGGAAUGAACUUUGGAUGUGGCCUGAGUGUAACCUCGUCUGGGAAGAAUACUAUGUAAAGGGGAUGUGCCAUCAGAGACCCUAUGCUUCUAGCCGAGGUAAUUGCUAACAGAAAGGCAGACAGGUGACACAGAUUCGAACAUAGAUUCGAAGGGGGGGCCUUAUCAGCCUUUUCAGUACCAGCUUUAGGUCCCACAAGGGGUAGGAAGUCGAGGUUGAGGGAAGAGGUUUGUUAUACCCUUAAGGAACCUUUUGAUAAUUGGGUGUGAUAGUACUGAGUACUCCUCUAUGGGUUGGUGAAAUGCUGUGAUGGGUGCUAGGUGUACCCUGAGAGAGCUCAGGGAUAACCCAGAUUUUUUAAGGGUCAGGGCAUAUUCCAGAAUAUGUGGGAGAGUUGCUGACACUGGAGAGAUUGGUUGGGAUGUGCACCAAAUCUGAAACCUGGACCACUUCUGCAGAUAAGUGCAUCACAUGAAGGGCUUUCUACUGUGCAACAGAACUUCUUGUACUUCCCUUGAGCAUGAGCUUUCUACGUGCUGGAGUCAUGCUUUGAGGCGGAGAAUCCCCACGUUGGGAUGUACGGUACGCCCUUUGUCCUGUGAGAGGAGGUGCAGAGUGGUCAAAAGGAAGAUCGUUGGGCACAUCACGAGCUGCAUCAGGACCUGCACAGAAGAGGAAACAGAGGAAAGGCGUAAAGGUCUUUGUCCCAGAGGGAAAAGAAAGCAUCGCCCAGAAAGUGCUGUCCCAUCCCUGCCUUGGAGUAGUAUCAUGGACACUUCUGAUUCCGGUGACCAUUUGCCUUGUGUUCUGAGUCCGUUUAAAUGCGUGCCCAUCCUAUGAGUGAUGCCUGGGUGGUAAGGAGCAACGAUGGUGACGCCUGCAAGAAGGGAAUCCCUUUGCACGCUAUGGCUGGGUUCUUCCACCAAUCCACGGAGUGUUUGACCUGUAUCAGCAAUACCGUGAGGUGUGGGUGCCAGAUUGUGGUCUCGGUGCCAGCAGUUGCAGAGGAUAUCAAGCGAGAUGGUGAUCAUUUUCAGCUAUCCCUGAGGGGACCUCCCACUCUCUUUUUUGACCUGUGAGAGGAGUCCCCAGAUGGUUUCUUUGACCCACUAUCCUUCAAAGUUGAAGGUUGAGGGGGGAGACUCACACCUGUUUGAGGACUGGGGUAGGAGAGCUACCGCCAUAAAGAUGAUUUUUUGGCGAAGCUUUCUGUCCUUGCAGGAUCUUUGGCAGAGCUGCUGGCAGAGGAAGCACUUCUGCUGGAUAUAGCCCUCACCAAGGCAGCAGAUGCACUGGUAGUGCUUGUCCGUGAUCAGGAUCUCCUUACUGCAAGUGCAACACUUCCUGAAGCCUGAAGAGCUGAGCAUACUCUUGUCUGGGGGUUCCCCCCGACUGAGAGUUGACCAAAGUCCUUUCUUCUUUUUUUCCCUCCUGGCAAUGGCCAAAUAAACAGUAAAAUGGGGAAAAGAAACAAAAGAGGCUUCAAAGGAAGCUAAAAAUGUGCAAUUGUAAAAGAGUUAACAAUCCGCAAAUGGACAGCUAAAUCUCUGUCUCUAACCAGGGGUGGUUGAGAAGGAACUGAGGUCUGUUAGCCUCCGCGUGCUGGCUAGCCUCCUGGUGUAGCAGAAGAAGAGACUGCGCAUGUGUAGGCCCAAUGGACACUGCUACCGAACUUCUCCGAUCAGCAGCAUAGGGACUCAGACACACCUACAGUGGAGCACCCAGAGGGACACUACUUGAAGAAGAAUAUUGAUGUGGCCAGCAAUAAUACUGACUAUUACUGUGAAUGUGGGAGGAGAAAGGAGGUUUAUAGAUAAAAUCCUGGGCCAUAGUUACCAAGGGAGUGGUGCAAGCAGGAAUAUUGUCCACACCUUUGCUUACUGGUCAUGGCCACAGCCAUGGUUCUUCUUCUAGAGGGGUAAGGGUGGGGUGCCAGGAACUAAAAGACCAAUAUGUAGGUAUAUGAGGCUUCAAACGGUAUCCUGGAGGAAGCGUACAAAACAGCUAAAGGCACUUGAUGGAAACAGUUUCUGUGUUUUCCUGUUGGCAGCUGGUGAGACAUUGAUUUCAGGGUGGGAUAGAGGCUAGAAGGAGGCCCUAGUGUGUGAUAUCCCAUACACUGCAGGAGUUCUGUGAGAACUGUCUGAGAACCUUUUUCAAUCACUAGUCACUUGAAGUCUUGAUGAUAGCAUCCUCACUGCAAUACUAUAUAAAUGUAUCCUUUCUCCUCUCUGAGAGAUUAAGCUGUUUGACUUAACAGAGUCAAGAAAAUAGAAUAACUUUCUCAUAGAAAUUUUAAAAAGUAAACAAGGAAACUAAAUCAUGCCAAACCAAUCAAAUUUCCUUCUUUGAUGGGGUUACAGGCCUAGUGGAUGUGGGAGAGGAGUAGACAUAUCUUGAUUUUAGUAAGGCUUUGGACACAAACCUACAUGACAUUCUCAUAAGCAAACAAGAUAAACGUCAUCUAGAUGAAUUUCUAUAAGGUGGAUACACAAUUUGUUGAAUGACUGUUCAACAAUUAUCAAUGGUUCAGUAUGAAACUGGAGUCCCACAGGGGUGAGUCCUGCAUCACUAUUCAAUAUUUUCAUCAAUGGCUUGGAUAAUAGAGUGGAGAGUAUGAUUAUAAAAUUUACA